rnacentral:rRNA from 1 species
UACGGGGGGGGGCAAGCGUUGUUCGGAAUUACUGGGCGUAAAGGGCUCGUAGGCGGCCAACUAAGUCAGACGUGAAAUCCCUCGGCUUAACCGGGGAACUGCGUCUGAUACUGGAUGGCUUGAGUGUGGGAGAGGGAUGCGGAAUUCCAGGUGUAGCGGUGAAAUGCGUAGAUAUCUGGAGGAACACCUGUGGCGAAAGCGGCGCACUGGACCACAUCUGACGCUGAGGCGCGAAAGCUAGGGGAGCAAACAGG